rnacentral:rRNA from 1 species
AUACGGAGGGUGCGAGCGUUGUUCGGAAUUAUUGGGCGUAAAGCGCGUGUAGGCGGUUUGUUAAGUCUGAUGUGAAAGCCCCGGGCUCAACCUGGGAAGUGCAUUGGAUACUGGCAGACUUGAAUACGGGAGAGGGCAGUGGAAUUCCUGGUGUAGGAGUGAAAUCCGUAGAUAUCAGAUAGAACACCAAUGGCGAAGGCAGCUCGCUGGCUCAAUACUGACGCUAAAGCACGAAAGUGUGGGUAGC